CCAGCUGUGGCUCAGUGGUGAGCACCUGCCUAGUACGCAGGAGGCCUGGGUUCCACCCCAGCACCAGAG
rnacentral:tRNA from 1 species